UACGGAGGGGACUAGCGUUGUUCGGAAUUAUUGGGCGUAAAGAGCUCGUAGGCGGCUUGUUGCGUCGACCGUGAAAACCCGGGGCUCAACUUCGGGCUUGCGGUCGAUACGGGCGGGCUAGAGUUCGGUAGGGGAGACUGGAAUUCCGGGUGUAGCGGUGGAAUGCGUAGAGAUCCGGAAGAACACCGGUGGCGAAGGCGGCCUGCUGGGCAGUUGCUGACGCUGAGGCGCGACAGCGUGGGGAGCAAACAGG
rnacentral:rRNA from 1 species